rnacentral:rRNA from 1 species
UACGUAGGGGGCAGACGUUAUCCGGAAUUAUUUGGGCGUAAAGGAGCUCGUGAGCGGUCUAGUUUGACGAUCCGGUACGUGGUGUAAAAACCUCGGGGCUUAAACCCUGAGCCUGACUUUUCCGAAUACGGGCUAGACUAGAGGGUAUGGACAGGGGGAGGAAACGGUCAAAGUUUCCUUGGUGGUAGGCGGGUAGAAAACUGGUCGAC